rnacentral:RNase_P_RNA from 2 species
UCCUCUUCAACGCUGCGUUUCUAUGCUACAAACGGAGAGCCUGCGCAAGCAGUGCUUUCGAGCCAUACCAUCUAGCAUAUGAGAAAUUCGGAGAAUCGGCUUCACUCAUGGCUCGUCCAUCUGCGCUCUCGGGCGUCCGAUGGGUUGCGAGCCCUGCCGGUGACGGCUUGGCGCGAUCUCGCGUCUGUAAUUGGCAUCAGAAAAGCAGGGCCUGGGAUCGCCUCGUGGCAACGCGGGUGUCGGUUUCCCAGGUAUCCUCUGGGAGAGCCGUUACGAAGCUUGUGCGCAACACUUGAGUGCAAUACGCAGCGUGCGGUCUUGCUUCUCUUCUUGGACGGGCGAGACCACACAAUUCGAUUCCGAUUAUCCUGUUGAGGA